UACGUAGGGGGCAAGCGUUGUCCGGAAUUAUUGGGCGUAAAGCGCGUGUAGGCGGCCGGAUAAGUCCGCUGUGAAAUCUCGAGGCUCAACUUCGAGCUGUCGGUGGAAACUGUCUGGCUAGAGUCCGGAAGAGGAGAAUGGAAUUCCUGGUGUAGCGGUGAAAUGCGCAGAUAUCAGGAAGAACACCCGUGGCGAAGGCGGUUCUCUGGGACGGUACUGACGCUGGAGACGCGAAAGCGUGGGGAGCGAACAGG
rnacentral:rRNA from 1 species